rfam:Glycine max cultivar Williams 82 chromosome 19, whole genome shotgun sequence.
GUAAAGGUUUCAUUAGAAACCACCUAAAAAUAUUGGGUAACUCUUU